rnacentral:lncRNA from 1 species
GGUCGUAACGCAGAGCAGCCCCAUAUUUGCUGAAAACAGUGUCUCCCAGAAUAAGGUCAAAAGCGGCAGUCUCACCUGAUACGACGAAUGCCUCAAAGCUGAUGCGGGCAUCUCCUAGCUGAAGCUGAGUGUUGACUGAUCCAAGGAUGUGCAGAGAGGAGGAGUUAUCUGCCAGCUUUACUGUUUGCAUGGUACCUGAUGGACGCAUGCKCAGCUUGUGCUUGACAGCAAA